rnacentral:lncRNA from 1 species
CUGAAGGCUAGUCUGGCUUAAAACUACCAGUUUCAGCGGCUUGCAAUUUUCUCUUAUAUUUGGGUGGGGAAGAUUUUUCAGUUUUCCCUUAGAGACACUUUCCCUUGUGGGGCAUGAUAGUGUGUUCCUCGUUGCAGAAGGACCCCUGUAUGCAGAAGUAGAGGCGCUGGCCUCAGGCUCCUCCACUUCCUCUUGGACAGAAGACGCUGAGCAUUUUUUCAGGAAGUGGUCACCCCAGUGGUCCCCGGCUUUCUCAGACUUCCUGCAGCUCUCUACACAGUGAAUCACAGUGAGACACUGGCAGCAGGCACCACGGAAGGGACCCUCAAAUCUGAAGGCUCAAGGUCCUGGGAAAAGAUGAAGUGGAGCAUGCCUCUUGUUUCCUCCUAUUAGAUGCUGAGUGUUGGAAGUUCUUCCUAGGAUUCACAAAGAAACUCCUGCUCUUCUUCCACAUACUUUUUCCUGGGAAAGAAAACUUGUUUCACUGGCAGAAAAGAUCCCCACUGUUAAAGUGAGGGAAAUAGAAUUAAGCCUGGAAGAAAGUUC